UUUAAGUGGGGUAACGAGGAGUUGAAAUAGGUAUUGUGUUAAGUGGGGUAACGAGGAGUUGAAAUAGGUCUUGUUUUAAGUGGGGUAACGAGGAGUUGAAAUAGGCCUUGUUUUAAGUGGGGUAACGAGGAGUUGAAAUAGGUCUUGUGUUAAGUGGGGUAAUGAGGAGUUGAAAUAGGUAUUGUGUUAAGUGGGGUAACGAGGAGUUGAAAUAGGCUUUGUUUUAAGUGGAGUAACGAGGAGUUGAAAUAGGUAUUGUGUUAAGUGGGGUAAAGAGGAGUUGAAAUAGGUAUUGUUUUAAGUGGGGUAACGAGGACUUGAAAUAGGUAUUGUUGUAAGUGGGAUAACGAGGAGUUGAAAUAGGUAUUGUGUUAAGUGGGGUAACGAGGAAUUGUAAUAAGUCUUGUUUUAAGUGGGGUAACGAGGAGUUGAAAAAGGCCUUGUUUUAAGUGGGAUAAUGAGGAGUUGAAAUAGGCCUUGUUUUAAGUGGGGUAACGAGGAGUUGAAAUAGGUCUUGUUGUAAGUGGGGUAACGAGGAGUUGAAAUAGGUCUCGUUUUAAGUGGGAUAAUGAGGAGUUGUAAUAGGCCUUGUUUUAAGUGGGGUAACGAGGAGUUGAAAUAGGUCUUGUUUUAAGUGGGAUAAUGAGGAGUUGAAAUAGGCCUUGUUUUAAGUGGGGUAUAGAGGAGUUGAAAUAGGUCUUGUUGUAAUUGGGAUAACGAGGAGUUGAAAUAGGUAUUGUGUUAAGUGGGGUAAUGAGGAAUUGUAAUAGGUCUUGUUUCAAGUGGGGUAACGAGGAGUUGAAAUGGGUAUUGUUUUAAGUGGGGUAACGAGGAGUUGAAAUAGGUCUUGUUUUAAGUGGGGUAACGAGGAGUUGAUAAAGGUCUUGUUUUAAGUGGGGUAAUGAGGAGUUGAUAUAGGUCUUGUUUUAAGUGGAGUAACGAGGAGUUGAAAUAGGUAUUGUGUUAAGUGGGGUAAUGAGGAGUUGAAAUAGGCUUUGUUUUAAGUAAGGUAACGAGGAGUUGAAAUAGGUCUUGUUUUAAGUGGGGUAAUGAGGAGUUGAAAUAGGUCUUGUUUUAAGUGGGGUAACGAGGAGUUGAAAUAGGUCUUGUUUUAAGUGGGGUAAC